AGUGAACGCUGGCGGUAGGCCUAACACAUGCAAGUCGAACGGCAGCACAGUAAGAGCUUGCUCUUACGGGUGGCGAGUGGCGGACGGGUGAGGAAUACAUCGGAAUCUACUUUUUCGUGGGGGAUAACGUAGGGAAACUUACGCUCAUACCGCAUACGCCCUACGGGUGAAAGCAGGGGAUCUUCGGACCUUGCGCGAUUGAAUGAGCCGAUGUCGGAUUAGCUAGUUGGCGGGGUAAAGGCCCACCAAGGCGACGAUCCGUAGCUGGUCUGAGAGAAUGGUCGGCCACAUUGGAACGGGGACACGGUCCAGACUCCUACGGGAGGCAGCAGUGGGGAAUAUUGGACAAUGGGCGCAAACCUGAUCCAGCCAUACCGCGUGGGUGAAGAAGGCCUUCGGGUUGUAAAGCCCUUUUGUUGGGAAAGAAAAGCAGCAGGUUAAUACCCCGCUGUUCUGACGGUACCCAAAGAAUAAGCACCGGCUAACUUCGUG
rnacentral:rRNA from 1 species